CCUGCCUCUGCCUGUAAUAUUUUUUUGGAUUAGUGGUGCUAUGCGUGCAAGCUACUGUGACACCAGAUAUGAGUGGCACUGUGAACUGGCAGAGGUUGGCAGAGUACACGCUGUAGGGCUGACACACCCGCUUUGAGACAACUAACUGCUAUUCAAUCUAUAACAGUGAAAAAAAAUGUUGGUUUUAAAUGCAAGCUACUGUGAUACCAGAUAUGAG